rnacentral:rRNA from 1 species
AGAACGAACGCUGGCGGCAUGCCUAAUACAUGCAAGUCGAACGAACUCUUCGGAGUUAGUGGCGCACGGGUGCGUAACGCGUGGGAAUCUGCCCUUGGGUUCGGAAUAACAGUUGGAAACGACUGCUAAUACCGGAUGAUGACGAAAGUCCAAAGAUUUAUCGCCCAGGGAUGAGCCCGCGUAGGAUUAGCUAGUUGGUGAGGUAAAGGCUCACCAAGGCGACGAUCCUUAGCUGGUCUGAGAGGAUGAUCAGCCACACUGGGACUGAGACACGGCCCAGACUCCUACGGGAGGCAGCAGUAGGGAAUAUUGGACAAUGGGCAAAGCCUGAUCCAGCAAUGCGCGUGAGUGAUGAAGGCCUAGGUUGUAAAGCUCUUUUACCCGAGAUGAUAAUGACAGUAUCGGAGAAUAAGCCCGGCUAACUACCGUGCCAGCAAGCCGUCC